rnacentral:rRNA from 1 species
AUGGUUGAUGCCGCUAGGAAAAGUUGUGUUUCUGAUGAAACAGAUGUCAUAAAAUGGUCCUUGGGACCUAAGACGGUCUUUACGACUAGAUCGGUGUAUUCUUUCUUGAAAAGAAACAUCACAGGGUGUAAUUUUGGAUGGAUUUGAAAGGCUGGCAUCCCUUUAAAGAUCAAAAUCUUUAUGUGACAGUUGUUCCAGGAUUCUAUUCUUACUCGAGAUGUAAUGAAAAGAAGGGGGUGGAAAGCGAAUUCUAAAUGCUCAUUCUAUGGGGAGCGCGAAACAUCCCAACACCUCUUUUUUACCUGCCCUGUAGCUAAGGUGACUUGGAGAAAUAUUGUAUGCAUGCUUGGCACUGACUUGUGUCCAAACAAUUUGUGGCAGGCUUACUCUUGA